GCCCGGGUGGUCCAAUGGGAAGAUUCCCCCUUCGGGUUAACUCUAAUCCGGGCAGCUUCAGUUGUCUCUUAUGGGGGCGAACCGCGUUCGAUUCGCGGCUCGGGCC
rnacentral:tRNA from 1 species